CUACGGGUCGCUGCAGUCGAGAAUCUUUGGCAAUGCGCGAAAGCGUGACCGAGCGACGCCGCGUGGUGGAAGAAGCCCUUCGGGGUGUAAACACCUGUCGAGAGGGAGAAACUUUGAUCGUACCUCUCUAAUAGGGGUUCCUAAUUCUGUGCCAGCAGGAGCGGUAAGACAGAAACCCCAAGCGUUACCCGGAUUUAUUGGGCGUAAAGCGUCAGCAGCCGGUCUCGCAAGUGGUGUGUUAAAUCCCAGGGCUCAACCCUGGGGCCGCACAUCAAACUGCGAGGCUUUGAGGGGCGAAGAGGCACACGGAACGUGCGGUGGAGCGGUGAAAUGCGUUGAUAUCGCACGGAACACCAAUGGCGAAGGCAGUGUGCUGGUCGCCUCCUGACGGUCAGUGACGACAGCGUGGGGAGUGAAGAGGAUUAGAUACCCGUGUAGUC
rnacentral:rRNA from 1 species